GAUAACCAAAGAUCACGGCAGGAUUUAAGGUAGGAUUGGUGAUUACCCGGACAUCACCACCACCAGGAGCCCAGGUGUCAUAAACGCCACCAAAGAACAUGGCUUUGAAUACCAACAACAGCGCACCACAACCCAAAAGAAUUAGGUGAUAACCGAUGAUGUUGGUCAUCUGGUUUUUGUCCUUCCA
rnacentral:antisense_RNA from 1 species